UACCAAAACCCUUUUUUUAAUUAAGGAUGUGGUCUGAAUUCUUGAAUGCCCUGUCUGAGGUGUAUAACAAGGCAGCUGUUAAAACCUGUUAAAUAGAAACCUUCCAUUCCAUGUAUCAUGAACUUGCUCAGGCUAGUUGUGAUGAAAAGAACGUUUUUGUUUUUUUUAAUCAGAAAAAUUCCAGUUGAUGGUGCACUCAUCAUGUUUCACUAAAAUCAAAUGAUGACAAAUGGUGAGUGAGCCUGGGGAUGAGGUUAUAUAAAGGAGGUCUGAGGAGGAGAUUGGGCAUUCCUCUGAAACACCCGAGACACAUCACGAAGAGGUCAACCUGGUGCCGUGUCCACUGCUUCCAUCAUCAUGUCCAAACUGAUCUGUGGGCUUCUCCUCCUGGUCGUCGUGGACUCCUUUUGGUGCGACAGCAGAGGUGAAUAUGUACAAUUUAGUGCUGGUUGAUUGGCUGAAUAUUGUUGUUUUUCACACCUUCUGCUUUACACAGGUAAACAUUCCUACCCCUAUCCCUACCAAACAGCACUAUGUCAAUGACUAAAUAGUGAUGUACUAAUACUUCAGCACUUUUUCAAAGGUGGUCUCAAUGGUUGAUCACCAAUAGAUUUAUACAUUCCAAGUUCAACAUUAGAAUGAAAACAAUGAUUAGUGUAAGUCAAAGCCUUCUCAUUUCUGUGUGUAGUCUCUGCUCCCAAGAAGACCCAGGAAAUCCUAUGGCGUUGUGAGUGCAAAGGUAAGCAUGUCAAUUGCAUAAGCGCUCUUUAGGAAUAAAUGACAGUGUGGAAUCUAUGUAUUAAUGCAGUAUUCUUAUUGUAUUGCGACUAUAUGAAAGUAGGUUUCAUUGGAAGUAAAACGUGCCUGGAUAAUGAGAACAGCAGAAACAUCUGUGUUUGGAUUCUCUCUCUGUAGAUCACGCUCUGCCAACCUCAGGAAUGUGAAUGUUUUUUUUGACCAUUUGGCAUAGGGGUCCUCAUGGAAAUGUGAUCUGUGCUAGGUAGACACGCCUAUUAAUUUUUAUACCAGCUAACAACCAUCUUAACCAAGAGAAUUCUGGAAAGUUCACCCUAAGGACAACUCUGCUGCAUUAUUCCAAUAAAUACUGAAUGUUUUUUCUCCCUCGAUUUGAACAGGUUCCCUAUUACUGAAUCAUCACCAUAUGUAACAGCUAAAUUCUAACAACAGUGAUGAAUUGUGUUUGUCGACACCACUGCCUAAAUGCACCUAAUCACUGUAGUGUCCUGCAAACCCAGGAAAGACCAUUAGCACCGUCCAGCUUGUGUGACUGUGAUACCGUGGUGUAUCUGUCUCCAGAGAUGUCUAACCAAAGCACUUCGUUGGUUAAAUGGCUCUCUUUCUCUCCUCAGUUCUUCCCAAUGGAAGUGAGAUCUGCAUCAUGUCCAGACCCCAACGCAGAAAAAGAAAAUCAGUCAUGCCUUUGCAGCCAACAUCAUCUGCUUAGUAAGUAUACAUUUUUAGCAGUAAAGGAAGACCGAUGAACUGAGAUAAUAUGUUGAGAACAGUGUUUUUGGAGGUGCCAGGCCAAAUCAAUUGUGUUAUUUUGUGAAUGGAGUGUUCAUUUAAUAAUAUUGUAGAUGUGUCUGCCAGUUAGAUUGGAGUCAUGGCUGAUCAAAGGCAUGGCUUGGAUAUAGUUGUUUUAAGAAAAUAUGUUGCAAGCUACUUAUUUUGUUGCUUUCAAUUUUGAAAAUAAAUUGCUUGCUACUGUGUUUGGAUUUUUUAAUAAACACUGGGGUGAUGUGAUUUGCACUGUUACAAUAGUAGUUGAAGACUGAAGUGUCUGAUACGUGUGAAAUAUGCAGUUUUCAGUGGAACAAGUAUAUUACACAAACAAAAAUGUAAAGGGCAAAAUGUACUAUAUAUGUAGCAUGCAGUAAAUACUUUCAUUGCAUUACAUCAUCAUCAUCAGUUUUCUUUUUAGGUAAGUUGCAUUAUUCUUAGUGAAUUGUUUUGCUCUCCAUAACUCUGUCUGUCUGUCUUCCUUUCUGUGUAGAAUUCAAGGACAUGUCUGUCUUGGACAUCCAGAAGAAAUGCAAUCACACGCCAAAAUAUCCCAUUCCGAGCAAUCCCAUCGGAUUCCUGUGAGGAUGAAAGGGCUCCCUUUAUCUCUCUGUGCUGUUAGAAAUCGGCCGUUUCGUAUAGUGGUUGUAAUAAUUAGAUUACCCGUUUGUCAAGGGAGAGAGAAAUUAUAUUAUUUAUUGCAGCAUUAGAAAGUCUUGUUCAUGAGGUUACGGACCUGGUCUUCCUUACACAACCUCAAUCUCAUCUCACUCAAUCUAUUCUCACUGUAAUGUUGGUUACAAGCUGAUAUAUACAUUGAAGGGGGUGUCUACCUAGCAAAGAUCAGGUUUCCAAGACAGUUACCUCCAUGCCAAAUGGUCAAUGUAAACAUUCCUGUGGUUAGUAGAGCACAACCUACAGAGAGAUAAUCUACACAGAGAUGUUUCUGUUGUUCUCAUUAUCUAGGCGCAUUCACCUACAAUGAAACGUACAUUCACAUUGUAAUUGUUAAUGCUCAGAUACCACAAUGCCUUUCUGUCAAAUCCUUUUAAAUCAUUGUUAUACCUGCAGCAUUGAUUGAAAUAUGUAAAUUAAAUAAAGGUUUUCACCAUAUUGUCAAUGUAUUUGUGUUGAUCCACCAGCUUUGUAGACAAUAUUUACAUCUGCAAGUAGAAAAGAAUAUUGUACUCCGUAUGCAAAUAAAUGAUAAAGC
ensembl:lncRNA